UCAUAGCUCUGGAGAUGAGAACCCCUAGUCCUGGUAUGACAGUCUAAUGCACUAGACAAUCUUACAAGUUGAUUAACAAAAAAUUGUCCAGUAGCACCUUAGAGACCAACUAAGUUUGUUCUGGGUAUAAGCUUUCGUGUGCGUCUGAAGAAGUGUGCAUGCACACAAAAGCAGAACAAACUUAGUUGUUCUCUAAAAUGCUACUAGACAUUUUUUUAUUUAUUUCAGCUGUGUCAGACCAACACAGCUACCUACCUGAAAGUUGAUUAACAGUACAGUGCUAUACAUGGUCUACUCAAAAGUAAGCCCUAGAAAAGUAACUUACCCCAAAGUUUGUAUAGGAUAGCAGCCUGUGCUGUUUAUUUAUGUAACAAGCAACAUACAUUUAAUAACAAUAACAACAUACUUAUAAAAUUCUUUAACCAGUUGAUAACCCUGCUAAAAAUGCAGUGCAAAAAGCAAGCGGGGAGCAAGGUUUUAUUUUUAAUUUUUAAAACGCAUUAUUGCCCCAAACAAACAACACCCUGCUGAUUCUGUCCAAAGUGUGCUGUGGGUUAUUUCAUUAUAAUUAAGAGCAAUGGGCAGAAGUCCUCAUUUGACAGCUGUGGGAAUAGUAAAUGGGAAAGUCCAGGUCAUCCCUGCAACCGAUUCAGCAGCCUCCGCUUUUCAUCCUAGCAAGUCAUUCAUGGGGAGAGGCAUUUUCUGAUAGAAGCAGAUCUCAUUUGGGCUUUAAAAGCUCAAACCAGCACCUUGAACUGGGCCUGAAACCCAGCUGGAUGUUGACACAACAACGGUGGCAACUUUGAUAGGCUAUGCUGGCACCUUCCCUCUCAUGGUUAUUUCAGAACAUCAGUGCUCCCAGUAAACCCAGAGUAAUCCAGAAUGCCCUUUCCAUUUAUUGUAAUUUUGAUCUGGCAACCUCUGCCGAGAUCAAAUACCCGGAGUCCCUGACAUUCAGGCAUGCUAUUUGCUAUGCGCUAGAGAUAACAGCUCAGCUCAAUAUCUGAUCCAGGGUUCGUGCAAGUAACUGCCCAUGCUCCUCUCCUGCCAGCAACCUGCUUUUCAUCUGUUGUGUUUUCUCUUAACCAAUCCAGCCCAAUGUGCCACAGCCUUUGAACAAAAUUGUUCCCAGCAGAGGCCUCAAGACCCCACUCCCCAGCCUGAUGACGUCGGCAUGUGUCACAAGAGCCUGUUGCUCUAACCUUUUUCCGUCAGGAAGGAUGAAUAAUCGAGGCCUAACCAGUCCCGCAUGUGAGGGAAGCUUUGAAAGGGAAGAUGGCCAGGCACAAGACACGAGGGCAAAACCACCAAAUCGGAGGGGUGGGAUGUUGCACGAAAGCUGCCUAACUCAUCCUCUGGCUGGCUCUUCAGGGCUCCAGACUAACUCUACAACUCAUAUCAGCCGCGGUAGAGAUUAACCGGCUUUGCCCUUUUUUUUAAAAAAUAGGAGUCAGCAACUUGCAGAAAGCAAGGAUAUCAGCAGAGCCAUUCGGGACCAAACUUUGCUGGUCCAUUCAGUCCAGCAUGCCAGGGUUCCCACAAUUUUUUAUUGCUUAUUCAUUCAUUUAAAAGCAUUUCUAAACCUCAUAUUUAAAAAUCGAAGUGGUAUAUAAAAAUGCAAUAAAGCAGUGUCAUAAAAACAGGUGCAACAUAAAAACCAGGAAAAGUAUUAUAAAAAUCAGAAUUCAGUAAUAAUGGGGCCCUUUCUUAUGGGUCAGAGAAAGUCAGGGCAGAAAGAUAACCCUGGGAAGCACACAAGCAGGGUACACAUCCAAUAGAUGUCUCCUGCUGCUAGUCCUCAUAAACUCUUACCCAUUGGUGUAAGGUAGUAGUGGAGAACCUCCAGCCCAUAGGCAUAAUGCCUGACAGGCCUCCCCAUUUGACAGGUGAAGCCAUUUUGAUGAACCCACCUGCCCUAAGCCUGAUGCCAUAUAUGGUGUCAGGUGUGGGUAGGUAUCUUUGUAUCUGCAAGGUCCUGUGCAUAGCAUUUGGCAAACUCUGACAAUCAGCUGAUUGUUGGGGCUUCCAUGCAUAACACUAUGCAAAGAUGGGUGACCUGGCAACCCUACCAACCUGCCAAACCUGGCUUACGGCCUGGGAAUAUGGCACAAUGGAAUGGAAUUUGAUUUCUCCUUUUGCCUUCACCAACAGGAUGAAUGGAGAUUGACCUGCUUAGGUGGUCAGCAGACCAUCAGUCUCAGCAAAUAGGAUCAAUGGUCAGAGAUGAUGGGAUUGGUACUCCAACAUAGUCUGGAGGGAGCCAUGCUGGCUGUAACCACUAUAACAUUUAAUUCAUUUUUUAAAAUUUAAGUAUUUAUAUUGUCUGCCUGAACCUAACCAGAACAGGCCUGAUGGUGAGUGCUGUACUCUUCACCCUACCCCCUACCAAAGUUGAAAAUGUCAAGAAUUUAAAGGCAAGUUGCUCUGCUUGGGGUUACACAAUGACACCACUGAACAGUGUGUACUUGUGCCUAUUGACUCAUCCAGAGCAGGAUUUAGGUCAGGGGUGGGAAACCUCAGGCUCAGAGGACAACUGCAGCCCACAAGGCCUCUCCAUCUGGCCCUCAGGACUCUUCCUAGGCCAUGCCCCCUUCCAGGGGCCAUACCCCUUAUUGGCCCCUUUUCACACCCUUUUUGAGUAUUUUUUCUUUCUUUCUGGAAAGUGUCCUUGAACUCAGACAAUGCUUCUUGAAGGUGAGUGAGCAUAGAUACAAUGGUGCUUUACAACGGUAAAAUCUGCAUUCGUUGCUCUGCCUACCUUUUGUCCCUGGCCCCACCCUCUGGUUUGUGGCCCUUGAAAGGUUGUUCAGAAGGGAAUGCAUCACUCAGACUGAAAAAGUUUUCCCACACCUGUUUUAAGUAACAGGUAAGCUUAGGGAGCAGCAUUGAAGCUCUCAUAUGAGAAAUGUGUGCCACAAGACCAAAGUCCAGAGGAAUAAUCUAUCCUCCUCUUCCUCCAACAGUCUCGUUCCUCCUCAGAUUCCAGCUCAGAAGGGUUUGGGAGCUGUGGCAUUUGAUGGGACCCUGUGGAUCACAGUCCCCGCAGGUGGGGCUUGGAGGUUAAGCAGUGUGACACAAUGGCGACUGAAGCAAUUUGCAAACCAGCUCUCCAAAUUGUAGUGUAGAAACAUCCAGACAAACUCAUCCUCCUCACCAAUGGGUUAAAGCUUCAGUUUUCUUUUUAAAAACUUCCUCGGACCAUCUGUAACCUAACCCUCCCCAAAUGCCUCAUCUGAAUUUAAUAAAGCAAGAGGGGAGUUGGAGAAAUCUCCCAAAAAGCUUUCAUAGAAAUUAAAGUAAACAAUGCGUUGACCUCCAGCCCUUCGUUGCCCUGCUGCUGACUUGGGCCUGCUUGUUACGGUUACAGACGGUUUGGCGUUUUUUGUUUAAUUGUAAACACAUUUGGUAAAUACGCCAGGAUUUGGUGGUAGCUCCAAAGGGGUCCAUUAAUGCACCAGUAAAAAAAAGCAGGGAAAUGACUCCCAUGGAAGGAGAGGAAAUCUCCCAUGUGAACGGGGGGGGGGGGGGGAGGCACACUGCUGAACAGGCCAGAGACUGACAGCGAGAGGCAGCUGCUCUCUCAAAAAAACCUGUAAGUGGACUGGGGGCCAUCUUGGAUUCAGCUUUGAGCAAAUCAGUCAGGAGCUGCUUGCUGUUAGGGUAAGAAGCCUGUCCUAUUUACAAAGCACAAUUUAGGCUGCUAGGAAAUGUACGGUAAUCACCAUCCAUCCAAAUGGUGGCUCAGAAAGACCUAUUGGUGAUACCAGAUGGAGAAUUGUAUUGUUUGUUACCCAUGUUUUUUGUGGGCAAUACACUGAACCAGGGGUUGGAAACCUGUGAUCCUCCAAGUGUUGCUGAACUACAAGACCCUGUAUCGCUGACCAUUGUGCAAGCUGGUUGGUCUAAUGGGAGUUGGAAGUCCAACAGCAACAUCCAGAGGGCCAUAGGUUCCCCCUGCCUAUGUGCUAAAUAGGCUAUGGACAUUGUUGGCUUCACAUGUAAGAACAUAAAGAGUCUCCUGGAUAGUCUAGCAUCCUGCUCCCACAGUGGUCAACCAUAGGUCUGUGUGAAACCUGCAAGCAGGGCCUAAGCACAAGAGCACUCUCCCUUUCUGUGGUUACCAGUAACUGGUAUUUAUAAACAUACUGUCUCGACCACAGAGUCAGAGCAUAGCCAUCAUAGUUAGAAGCCAUUGAUAACCUUACUCUCCAUGAAUUUGUCCAGGUUGGUGGCCAUGGUUGCCUCCCUCCCGCGAGACUGAAUUCCGUAGUUCAUGCUGCAUGAAUAAGUACUUUGUUAUAUUUGUCCUGAAUCUUCCAACAUUCAGCUUCAAUUGAAUGUCUACAGGUUCUAGGGUUAAGACAGAGGGAGGAAACCUUUUUAUCUGUGCAAUUUCUUCAUGCCAUGCAUAUGCUCACAUACCUCCACAUCAUGUCUCCUCUUACUUGCACUUUCUCAAAUCUGAACACUCACACAACCUAUAGAAAUCCUGAUACAUAAAGCAGAAGUCUGCAGUCACACUUAGAAAAUGCUCUGACUCCAAAGAAGAAGGCGUCUCACCCACAGAAGCAAAGAAGUGAAGGAAGUCAGGAGUUUGGUCCAUUCAUCUCAGUGUUGCCUGCGCUGGCUGCCAAAGGGUCUCUAGAGUGUCCCCUGUUCACAAGAAAGCUGCUUGUGUUGGGAGAUGCCUUCUGCCACAUCAGGACAUUGGUUCUUCUAGCUCAGUAUUGUCUACUGCACUGACUGAGCAGCUCUCUAGGGUUUCAGACACAGAUCUCUCCUAGCCCUGGGACCUUUUACAUGCAAAGCACGUGCUGGGCCACUCACUUACUGCCUGUCCCGGCCUUGUUCAUACAAUGCAAUGUACAAACUAAUUGCAGUCCACUGUUUCUUAACUACCGGGUUGUUUUUUUAAGUCAAUGGCAUCAGAAAUGAACAGCAACCACCACUAUCUUGCCAUUCUUCUUUGCCUACUAGCUUUUUCCUCAGGUAUAUUAAAUUUGUCAUUCUUUUAGGCUCAAAGCAAAGAAACAAACUUGUGAGGGAUAAAGGCACUAAUCAGAUCUUCUGCCAUAUCCAAAAUUGGCAGAAUGUUCAACCGCUUACGUAAGCCUCCUUUUUGUUGAAUAAUAAACAAACAAACAAACAAACCAAUCACCAGGUGAAAAUGUUCUUCUUCAACCAGGCCCUGGGAUGAUUAAGAUCCAAUGCCCUUUUAAAUGAAUUGUGGGAGGGGCAGGCGGGUUAUUGGUUUGUUCUUGUUCUUGUUUGUAUUAUGUAUUUUAUUAUUUUUAUGUUGUGAACCACCCUGAGAUCUAUGGAUGAAGGGCGAUAUACAAAUUUAAUAAAUAAUUAUAAUUA